GAUGAACGCUGGCGGCGUGCCUAAUACAUGCAAGUCGAGCGAACAGACGAGGAGCUUGCUCCUCUGACGUUAGCGGCGGACGGGUGAGUAACACGUGGAUAACCUACCUAUAAGACUGGGAUAACUUCAGGAAACCGGAGCUAAUACCGGAUAAUAUAUUGAACCGCAUGGUUCAAUAGUGAAAGACGGUUUUGCUGUCACUUAUAGAUGGAUCCGCGCCGCAUUAGCUAGUUGGUAAGGUAACGGCUUACCAAGGCAACGAUGCGUAGCCGACCUGAGAGGGUGAUCGGCCACACUGGAACUGAGACACGGUCCAGACUCCUACGGGAGGCAGCAGUAGGGAAUCUUCCGCAAUGGGCGAAAGCCUGACGGAGCAACGCCGCGUGAGUGAUGAAGGUCUUCGGAUCAUAAAACUCUGUUAUUAGGGAAGAACAAAUGUGUAAGUAACUAUGCACGUCUUGACGGUACCUAAUCAGAAAGCCACGGCUAACUACGUG
rnacentral:rRNA from 1 species